rnacentral:rRNA from 1 species
UACAGAGGUCCCAAGCGUUGUUCGGAUUCAUUGGGCGUAAAGGGUGCGUAGGCGGACUUGCAAGUCAGUGGUGAAAUCCCUCAGCUUAACUGAGGAACUGCCAUUGAAACUGCUUGUCUUGAGUACAUUUGAGGUGGGCGGAAUGUGUCAUGUAGAGGUGAAAUUCUUAGAUAUGACACAGAACACCAAUUGCGAAGGCAGCUCACUAAACUGUAACUGACGCUGAUGCACGAAAGCGUGGGGAUCAAACAGG